rnacentral:rRNA from 1 species
GAUGAACGCUGACAGAAUGCUUAACACAUGCAAGUCGAUGGGGAAGUGGUGCUUGCACCAUGGUAACCAUGGCGGACGGGUGAGUAACGCGUAAGGAACUUGCCUGCGGGACUGGGAUAACAGCAGGAAACUGCUGAUAAUACCGGAUAAGGUCAUUAAGCUGCAUAGCUUAGUGAUGAAAGGAGACGCCUGCGGAGAGCCUUGCGUCCUAUUAGCUAGUUGGAGGGGUAACGGCCCACCAAGGCGAAGAUAGGUAGCCGGCCUGAGAGGGUGGACGGCCACAAGGGGACUGAGAUACGGCCCUUACUCCUACGGGAGGCAGCAGUGGGGAAUAUUGGACAAUGGGGGCAACCCUGAUCCAGCAAUUCUGUGUGCACGAAGACGGUUUUCGGAUUGUAAAGUGCUUUCAGCAGGGAAGAAGGAAGUGACGGUACCUGCAGAAGAAGCAACGGCUAAAUACGUG